GAUGAAGAACGUAGCGAAAUGCGAUAAGUAAUGUGAAUUGCAGAAUUCAGUGAAUCAUCGAAUCUUUGAACGCACAUUGCGCCCGCCAGUAUUCUGGCGGGCAUGCCUGUUCGAGCGUCAUUUCAACCCUCAAGCCCCCGGGCUUGGUGUUGGGGAUCGGCGUGCCCUCGCGGCGCGCCGUCCCCUAAAUCUAGUGGCGGUCUCGCUGUAGCUUCCUCUGCGUAGUAGCAACACUCGCACUGGAUCACAGCGCGGCCACGCCGUUAAACCCCCCACUUCUGAAAGUUUGACCUCGGAUCAGGUAGGAAUACCCGCUGAACUUAAGCAUAUCAAUAAGCGGAGGA
rnacentral:misc_RNA from 1 species